ensembl:miRNA Mir6919 microRNA 6919
UGCGGUAGACCACUGGAGGUGGAAUUGUCUCUGCCUCUGAGGCUCCUCCUCCUGGCCCCCAG